rnacentral:rRNA from 1 species
GACAGAGGUGCCGAGCGUUAGGCGGAAUCACUGGGCUUAAAGCGUGUGUAGGCGGAUGCCUAAGUACCUUGUGAAAUCCCAUGGCUCAACCAUGGAACUGCUUGGUAUACUGGGUGUCUUGAGCUAUCUAGGGGCAACUGGAACAAACGGUGGAGCGGUGAAAUGCGUAGAUAUCAAGUGGAACACCAGUGGCGAAGGCGAGUCUCUGGACAUUUCCUGACGCUGAGGCACGAAAGCCAGGGGAGCAAACGGG